ensembl:lncRNA
AAAAAAAUGAAUUAAAAAUAUAUAUAUAUGAUGUAUCUCUCUGGAUCUGGAAGAUAAGCCCCAAUUUCAGGUUCCCUGAAGGUGCCCGCCCACAAAUGGGACACUCCUGCCUUAUCUGCAUGGGUACAUCUGCUCUGUUCUGAAGCUCCAGCCCCGAUAAGCACCCUAAUGGGCUGCGGAGGGUCCUGCACUGAGCUGGGAGCAGUGAGGAACAUGUCACACUGGGAGGGUCAUUUAUUUCUUGCUGUUUCAUAGCUGUGGCAGGGUGCAGAGGCUCCAUAGCGGAGGUCAGCAGGAAGAACUCAGGCCUUAUGGGUCUGAAUCACCCAGACUGUGUGAUGCAACGUGCGUGUAGAUUGCAGCUGUGCAUUCUGCAGUGACCCACUGGCAUGUGGAUGAACGUGCCCUGUGCAAACGUGCAGCCAGCUUGGGCUUUUAGCAGCAUGGGAAGCUUCACCGUCUGCUCCAUCCCUGCUGAUGGAAUCUGGGGCCAAAAGCCAUUGCGUGAGGCUGAGUUGUCUCAAAAGGAAAAGGUCUGUACGUACAGCGAGUUGAGUUCACGUUGUUGUUGACGGAUGGCUCCUAUGUGCCAUGCUGGUGUGGAAACAAUGUCACAGAGUGGGAAUCAUUCCAAUGCUUCUGCACAACCGGGAAAAAAUCCCUGUGCAUCAUCAUGCUGGCAUCUCUUCUGCACCACCCGUGCGUGCAGAGCUGCUGCAGAGAGGAUUCCUCACAGCAAAGCUGCUUGAGAUUAAACUAUAACCUGGAAAAAUUCACUCUGAUUCAUCCCAUUUACUAUCAGGCAGCAAGAGUGAGGGCUGUAGGGGAAAGGGCUCAUUAUGGUCAAUGACAACGCAACGUUUCCACCCUGACGAACCCAUCGGGAACAGAGUACUUGUUGCUUACAGAGCAUGAAACCUCCAUGAACCACGUGCAGCAGUGCUAGGAAGUGCUCCUGCCGAGCCCUAACUUGGCCCUUUCCCUGCACGAGGCUGCAUUCAAAGAAGGAAGUUCAGGAGCCCAGCCUUGAUUUACAGCCGCGCCUUGCCCUGCAGACGGGGUGAUGCUGAGGGCACCCACGUGAGAUGCGAUCUGCGCUGGAAAGCAAGAGGGAUGGAGAAGCAGCAAUGCAGGGGUGCCUGUUCCAGCUGCGCCCGUGGCCUUGCCUGUUUUAGGGCACACCGGGGGCCGUGCAGGACUGUGCAGCGCACUCAUACCAAGGGCUGCUUUACUCUCAGCAGCCCCAGAAGCUUCAAAAAUAAAACAG